ACGGCCUCUGCCCUCGGAAGACUGAAGCGUCUUCACUUCCGGGCCCUGAGGAGAAUCCUCGCUCUGCUCCGGGAGGGCCUCCUUUUUCCGGCGCUUAAGGCGACUUCCGCUUUGACUUCGAGCCUGCUGUGUGCCUGCUUCUCAGGCUUGCCUGCCAGCAGCAGACCCCAUCUUCCUCAUCCUCCCAGCCAAGGACCACCUCCGAGGAACCUGCACACCCUCUUCCUCAAAACCGCCAGGGGAGGCCCAGGAGCAGGAAGGGACUGGUUUCCAGGCUCCUCGGUCCCUCAUAAGGACACGCGCACUUUGUCCUUGUGUGCCUGUCCAGCCCCACAACAGGCACCUGACUUUCCUAUUAUUAAGGCUAAUCCUCUUUAGCUCUUCCUUGGUUUCCGACAGCAAAACCAAAUGAAAUUCAAGAAGUGGAAUUUUAGGCCAGAGGCUAGCCUAAAAACUGCAAGUCUUCAUAAUUAACGAAAGGAAUCUAAAAAAAGAGAUGAAAUGUCGCUGCUCCUUUGCAGCUGUUGAGGAAGGAGCAUCGUUUUGCAUCCAUAAAACUACUUAGAAGAACCUGAUCUCAUCUUAAAUUGAGAACUCCCACAAGGAAUGCCAUCUUUAUGCAAUAUGGACAUGAGAAUAUUCAUAACGGUAACCAAAUGGGAAUGUUCUCUGUGAAAACAAAUCUGUCUUUUGAAGAGUUCUGAACAAAGAGGUCUGAUAAGACUCCCAAGCCUUCAGAAAUUAUUGCCAUGAACUGUGAAAAUAACCUCCAACCCUGUCCCUCUGUAAUUCUGAUCUGUUGUCUUACUAGAUCAUUUAUUUCACUGGUUAUAAUGUUGUGAUAGAUGUCUCCCAUCAAUGUAUUCCCAAGAGAUAAUAUACUUGUAAAAAUUUUUCUGUCAAUCAGAAAAUAAUCAUCGGCACUUUCCUCCUCUCUCCCAUGCAUGAUGUCACAAUUAAAAGCUUAUGAGUUUGCUAGGCUUAUUAUUUAACAAA